rnacentral:rRNA from 1 species
GCGGUAAUACAGAGGGUGCAAGCGUUAAUCGGAAUUACUGGGCGUAAAGCGCGCGUAGGUGGUUUGUUAAGUUGGAUGUGAAAUCCCCGGGCUCAACCUGGGAACUGCAUUCAAAACUGACUGACUAGAGUAUGGUAGAGGGUGGUGGAAUUUCCUGUGUAGCGGUGAAAUGCGUAGAUAUAGGAAGGAACACCAGUGGCGAAGGCGACCACCUGGACUGAUACUGACACUGAGGUGCGAAAGCGUGGGGAGCAAACAGGAUU